ensembl:lncRNA
CAAACUGUAGUCUGUUAACAAGAAAAUUGUGGAGUGGUUGAAAAAUGAGUUUUAAUGACUCCAACCUAAGUGUAUUUAAACUUCCAACAUCAACUGUAUAUCAUACAAACACCACAAACACCCUCUGUUCAUUCUUCCUUCCUGUGAUAUUCUGCGCUGUUUCCUCAUUCUGUGAAUCAGGAACAAAACAGCUUUGUAAUCUAAGUUCAAUGAUCAUGGAUAUGCUAUCUGUCUUCAUGGUGAUGACUCUCGUAGGAAAAUGUCAAGGGAACACUUAUCUAAAUUAUCAAGAGAAAGAGGAAGCUAUAUCCCUACAAUGUGAAGAGAGAAUUUGGCAACUUGAUCUAGAUGAAGACAACAUAGUGGAUUGCACUUUUAAUUGCAGUCUUCAUGACAAUGAGAAGAAAUGUGGCCAAGAUCCGAAGUGCAAUAAUACAGCAUUUACAUUGAAAAAAACCCUGCAAAAACAGUAUCAAACAAUGUUUAAAUAUGAAAUUGGAGAAACACGUCACUGGAUUCUUUGCAUGUUUUCAUACCUUUCCAUCAAAUGACCAACACUUAUUCCCCUUUAAACCUUCAAAAGAUCAGGUGGAAUCAUUUAUUGUGGCAUUUGUUGAACCAAAGAUGGUGAUAUGCUACCCUGGUGUGGAAACUAAAACAUCUGUUACCAAACAGCAUGGAGAAUCAGUCAACCUUGCAUGUAAUUUCACAGUAGCCAAAGGUUACUCUAGCUUUCCAUUUUCAGUGUAUUGGAUCAAAACCAUCAGUGGCAACAGUAGCACAUGUCUUUAUUCUAAUUCUUAUGAUAGUGAUGCACAAUUAUAUGACCACCAUUGUCUCAUUGAUGAGGCCCUGCUGAAACGAAGGUCAAACACUUCAUCUAAACCCCUAACAAGCCCUAUCUUUCAUAACCUUAAGAUCAGCAAUGCCACAUAUUCAGACAGCGGACAGUAUGUUUGUGCCUUACAGGUGCUUAAGAAUAGAAAAGGGCACUGGAAGGUAAUAACUAAUGUCACAGUCACUGUGAAUGGAGAAUUCAACAACCACCCCAACAGGAAUGACACAGCCCUGUUAUAUACUCCUGGGGAUCCUUACAUACCACUGUAUGUAGCGGGAGCCUUGUUCUUCUCCUGCCUGUUUGUUACUGCCAUUGUCAUUGUCAUGAUGAAAAAUACCAAGAUUUCGCAAGCAGAAUCUCACACUCUGAGAAUGAAAAGAGAACAAGAUGGAGAGGAGACAAUUAACUCAGACUGCUCCCCAUAUGCUGAGGGCAGAGGAGAGGAUGAGGGGCUCUUCUCACUUCUGAAGCUGACUGAAGUGAGAGAUCCUGUGACUGCACAGAAUGGAGCUGAAGAACAUGCUGCUGUUGCUGUCGAGCCCAAUUCUGUAGUCAUGCUCAAUACUGAGUAUGAGGCCUUUGACCUCCAGGCCACUCAGACAUCAUCAACCUACCCCCUCAGGAUUGGAGCGAAAGUAUGAGUUACUAGCAGCCAAUAGUUACUCAUAUGAUGUAGAAAAGUGAGCUAAAGAUAAUGUUUUCAUGAUUGGUCUUUCAUAUUCGAUUUAGACCAGGAUUGGCGCGGGGCAGCCAGGGGUUUGUUUGGCCGGUGGGAGGGGUUGAGUGUUGGUUAAAAAAACAUUUCUGAUUCUUAUUGAUUGUACAGGUUGUGACUCAAUAAAAAACUUAGCCCACAAAAAUGAAGUUACAUUAAAGAGAGAACGAGGAUUUACUUUAUUUUUGAAUUGAAUGUUUUUGUGUUCAUUCAAGCUCUACUGAACAUUUCCACUAGAUGGUGCUAGUGCUCAGUCCUACAUUUGUGCUUACUGUUUCUCGGAUAUUGUGUCAUGUGUGAUUACCUAAUUAUUGUGUAACAUUGAAUAAACAUUGCAGAAAUAAA